AUUGAACGCUGGCGGCAUGCCUUACACAUGCAAAUCGAACGGUAACGGGCCUUCGGGUGCCGACGAGUGGCGAACGGGUGAGUAAUACAUCGGAACGUGCCCGAUCGUGGGGGAUAACGAGGCGAAAGCUUUGCUAAUACCGCAUACGAUCUACGGAUGAAAGCAGGGGACCGCAAGGCCUUGCGCGGACGGAGCGGCCGAUGGCAGAUUAGGAAGCUGGUGGGAUAAAAGCUUACCAAGCCGACGAUCUGUAGCUGGUCUGAGAGGAUGAUCAGCCACACUGGGACUGAGACACGGCCCAGACUCCUACGGGAGGCAGCAGUGGGGAAUUUUGGACAAUGGGCGCAAGCCUGAUCCAGCCAUGCCGCGUGCAGGAUGAAGGCCUUCGGGUUGUAAACUGAUUUUGUACGGAACGAAAAGCCUUCUUUUAAUACAGGAGGGUCAUGACGGUACCGUAAGAAUAAGCACCGGCUAACUACGUG
rnacentral:rRNA from 1 species